rnacentral:rRNA from 1 species
UACGUAGGGUGCGAGCGUUGCCCGGAUUUAUUGGGCGUAAAGGGCGCGCAGGCGGCCACGCACGUCCGUUGUGAAAUCGCCCGGCUCAACUGGGCGGGGUCAGCGGAUACGGCGUGGCUGGAGCAAGCUAGGGGGCAAUGGAAUUCCCGGUGUAGUGGUGGAAUGCGUAGAUAUCGGGAGGAACACCAGUGGCGAAGGCGGUUGCCUGGAGCUUUGCUGACGCUGAGGCGCGAAAGCGUGGGGAGCGAACAGG